rnacentral:rRNA from 1 species
UACGUAGGGUGCAAGCGUUAAUCGGAAUUACUGGGCGUAAAGCGUGCGCAGGCGGUUUUGUAAGACAGUGGUGAAAUCCCCGGGCUCAACCUGGGAACUGCCAUUGUGACUGCAAGGCUAGAGUGCGGCAGAGGGGGAUGGAAUUCCGCGUGUAGCAGUGAAAUGCGUAGAUAUGCGGAGGAACACCGAUGGCGAAGGCAAUCCCCUGGGCCUGCACUGACGCUCAUGCACGAAAGCGUGGGGAGCAAACAGGAUUA